AAGGAUUUAAGUUAAAUAAACUCGUAACCUUCAAAGUUACAAAUAAAGAUUUCCUUCUUUAAGCCUUA
rnacentral:tRNA from 1 species